rnacentral:rRNA from 1 species
GAUGAACGCUGGCGGCAGGCCUAACACAUGCAAGUCGAACGGUAGCACAGAGAGCUUGCUCUCGGGUGACGAGUGGCGGACGGGUGAGUAACGUCUGGGAAACUGCCCGAUGGAGGGGGGUAACUACUGGAAACGGUAGCUAAUACCGCAUAACGUCGCAAGACCAAAGUGGGGGACCUUCGGGCCUCACACCAUCGGAUGUGCCCAGAUGGGAUUAGCUAGUAGGUGGGGUAAUGGCUCACCUAGGCGACGAUCCCUAGCUGGUCUGAGAGGAUGACCAGCCACACUGGAACUGAGACACGGUCCAGACUCCUACGGGAGGCAGCAGUGGGGAAUAUUGCACAAUGGGCGCAAGCCUGAUUCAGCCAUGCCGCGUGUAUGAAGAAGGCCUUCGGGUUGUAAAGUACUUUCAGCGGGGAGGAAGGCGGUGAAGUUAAUAACUUCACCGAUUGACGUUACCCGCAGAAGAAGCACCGGCUAACUCAGUGCCAGCCGCCGCGGUAA